rnacentral:rRNA from 1 species
AUGGAACUCGGUCGACGAUUCCUACGGGAGGCAGCAGUGGGGAAUAUUGGACAAUGGGCGCAAGCCUGAUCCAGCCAUGCCGCGUGUGUGAAGAAGGCCUUCGGGUUGUAAAGCACUUUUGUACGGGAAGAAAAGCUUCCGGUUAAUACCCGGGAGUCAUGACGGUACCGUAAGAAUAAGCACCGGCUAACUUCGUGCCAGCAGCCGCGGUAAUACGAAGGGUGCAAGCGUUACUCGGAAUUACUGGGCGUAAAGCGUGCGUAGGUGGUUUGUUAAGUCUGAUGUGAAAGCCCUGGGCUCAACCUGGGAAUUGCAUUGGAUACUGGCAGUCUAGAGUGCGGUAGAGGGUAGCGGAAUUCCCGGUGUAGCAGUGAAAUGCGUAGAUAUCGGGAGGAACAUCCGUGGCGAAGGCGGCUACCUGGACCAGCACUGACACUGAGGCACGAAAGCGUGGGGAGCAAACAGGAUUAGAUACCCUGGUAGUCCACGCCCUAAACGAUGCGAACUGGAUGUUGGGGACACUUAGGUCCUCAGUAUCGAAGCUAACGCGUUAAGUUCGCCGCCUGGGAAGUACGGUCGCAAGACUGAAACUCAAAGGAAUUGACGG